UAGACCAAUGAUGAGUAUUCUGGGGUAUUUGAAUCAAUGAUUUUGAUUAAACCUCUUAACUCUGAGGUCCAC
ensembl:snoRNA SNORD113-3 small nucleolar RNA, C/D box 113-3